rnacentral:rRNA from 1 species
UACGGAGGAUCCAAGCGUUAUCCGGAUUCAUUGGGUUUAAAGGGUGCGUAGGCGGAAUGAUAAGUCAGUGGUGAAAGCCUGCAGCUUAACUGCAGAACUGCCGUUGAUACUGUCAAUCUUGAGUACAUUUGAUGUGGGCGGAAUGUGUCAUGUAGCGGUGAAAUGCUUAGAUAUGACACAGAACACCGAUUGCGAAGGCAGCUCACAAAACUGUAACUGACGCUGAGGCUCGAAAGUGCGGGGAUCAAACAGG